rnacentral:tRNA from 1 species
GCGGGAGUAGUUCAAUUUUAGAAUAUGUUCCUUCCCGGAACAAGAUAUAGGUGCAAGUCCUAUCUUCCGCUCCA